rnacentral:lncRNA from 1 species
UUUUUGUUGCCGUUGGAAAAAGAAUAAGUCCCGCUCCUAUUAACAUAGGGACUGGAAGUGGAAUGAAAGGUAUGAUCCACGCAUAUUCAUAUGUCUGUUCCAUAAAAAAGUUUUGAAUUCUUAAUUAAUUGUUUCCGAUUCACCGGAUCUUACCUCUUUUGAAAGGAGUCAAUAAAAAGUAAAAAUAUGGACUAACUUAAACUAAUUUAAAACUUAAAUAGAAUUUUUUUUCUUACUUAUUCUGAGUCUUUGCUAAAUACUUCAACUAUUCAAAUCACGAAGUUACGAUUGGUCAAAUGAAGAAUAUUAUUACAAUAGCAUUUAUCCUAAUACUUUUUAUUAUUAUUUUGAUAUUAUAUUUUUUCCAUCUAUAAUUUUCCAACAAUCUAAGAAACUAAGGCAAUUAAUAAUACUUCUAAAGCUAUUUCUACGACUACCAAUGUUAGUCCUACCCCCAUGUCACCGGUUCCAAUUGUCCUACCGUAUGUCAAACAAUUUAUCAAUGUGUCAAAUAUUAAAAAUAUUGCUAAUGAAAGUUUCAAAAGGUAGUAAGAACGUGUUUUUCAUUGCUCAAGGUUCAUGGCAUUGCACAUGCAUUAUUAUCUACAACCAGGUGCAGAGAUUGAUAAAUAAAUUCUGAAAUCAUCCAAACAUGCUAACAAGGUAUUUCGUCAAAUAAAUUAUUUUUAACGAACUAUUUGAUAUAUAUUGUAGCUGCAAAGAGGCAAAAGUUAUUUAGAAAGCCUGCAUUAAAUAGUUCAUUGCUGAAGAUGCUACCAAACAAAAGUUUUUGGUUGGAAGAUUUUACCAAUGGUAGAUGAGUAACGAAAAGGAGAUGAAGACUCAAAUUAAUGAAUAUAAAAAAUUGCUUGAAAACUUGAAGGCCAAGGGGAUCACUCUACCAGAAAAAAUUAUUGUUGGAGUGUUGAUUGAAAAAUUGCCAGACUCCUGAAACUAUUACAAAAAUAACUUAAAGAAUAAGCAAACAAAUUUAACUAUUGAGAAAAUAGUGACUCACAUUUUAAGUGAAGACAUCAAGAGAAAUGAGUCAUUCAAAGCAAAAGAGUUGGCGUUCAAAGCAAAGUUAGUACAAGGUUAUAAUAGCAACAACAAAAAGUAUGAUAAUAAAGUCUAAUUUUUACCAGCCUUAUAAGCUCAAUUUUAAGCAAAAAAAGGUUCUUGUUUUACUUGUGGAAAACCAAGUAAUCAUGCCACACAGUAUAGGAGGAGAAUAAAAAAUGAUGGUAUAAAGUUAUAAGCAAUAUAGAUGGUAUAAUGUUGUCACAAGAACAUUAUGUGAAAAAACUUCUUAAAUAGUUUGCAUGUUUUGAGGUGACACGUGCGGCUAUUACUUAUGAUGCUAAAUCUCAAUUGAAAAAGAAUAAAUGUGACCUAAUUGCUCAGUCUAAAUAUGCUAAGAUUAUUGGGAGUUUGAUGCAUUUAAUGAAUUUUUACUAGGCUUGAUAUAACCUAUAUUGUGUGUAGACUGAGUAGAUAUACUCAUAAUCUCAAUACAGAGCAAUUUUCCACAUUAUAUAGAUUGAUGAAAUAUUUUAGAGGAACCAUAAAUUAUGGUAUCAUGUAUAGUGGAUUUCGUUCUACAUUAGAAGAAUAUUGUGAUGCAAACAGGAUCUCUGAUUCAGAUGAGUCAAAUCCACUAGUGGAUAUGUGCUCACCUUAUGUGGUGUCAAAGUUUGUAGCUCUCUUUUUGUUGCCGUUGGAAAAAGAAUAAGUCCCGCUCCUAUUAACAUAGGGACUGGAAGUGGAAUGAAAGGUAUGAUCCACGCAUAUUCAUAUGUCUGUUCCAUAAAAAAGUUUUGAAUUCUUAAUUAAUUGUUUCCGAUUCACCGGAUCUUACCUCUUUUGAAAGGAGUCAAUAAAAAGUAAAAAUAUGGACUAACUUAAACUAAUUUAAAACUUAAAUAGAAUUUUUUUUCUUACUUAUUCUGAGUCUUUGCUAAAUACUUCAACUAUUCAAAUCACGAAGUUACGAUUGGUCAAAUGAUAUAAAAGGGAUUAAUUACUAGUCUCCUUUGAAAUAAGCCUAUUUUUUAUCCAAGUUUGACCAGUGAAUCGAACGGGGAUUCAAGUUUUUCAUUUCCUGAAGUAAAACGCGGUUCUUAUCUUUAAACC